rnacentral:rRNA from 1 species
CACGUAGUUAGCCGUGACUUUCUGGUUGAUUACCGUCAAAUAGGGGCCAGUUACUACCUCUAUCCUUCUUCACCAACAACAGAGCUUUACGAUCCGAAAACCUUCUUCACUCACGCGGCGUUGCUCCAUCAGGCUUUCGCCCAUUGUGGAAGAUUCCCUACUGCUGCCUCCCGUAGGAGUUUGGGCCGUGUCUCAGUCCCAAUGUGGCCGAUCAGUCUCUCAACUCGGCUAUGCAUCGUCGCCUUGGUAAGCCAUUACCUUACCAACUAGCUAAUGCACCGCGGGUCCAUCCUUUAGCGACAGCUUUCGCCGCCUUUUAAGCAAUAGCCAUGCAGCUAUUGUUGUUAUCCGGUAUUAGCACCUGUUUCCAAGUGGUAUCCCAGACUUUAGGGCAGGUUACCCACGUGUUACUCACCCAUCCGCCGCUCGCGUUCCCAGCGUCAUCACCGAAGUGAAUCUGCUGGUUCAGCUCGCUCGACUUGCAUGUAUUAGGCACGCCG